GAUGAGCGCUAGCGGCAGGCCUAAUACAUGCAAGUCGAACGGUAACAUGAGUAGCAAUACUUGAUGACGAGUGGCGCACGGGUGCGUAACGCGUAUGCAAUCUACCUUUAACCGGUGAAUAGCCCGAAGAAAUUCGGAUCAAUACACCAUAGUAUGUUUGAGUGGCAUCACUUAAACAUUAAAGCUCCGACAGUUAAAGAUGGGCAUGCGUGACAUUAGCUAGUUGGUAAGGUAACGGCUUACCAAGGCAACGAUGUCUAGGGGAUCUGAGAGGAUUAACCCACACACUGGUACUGAGACAGGGACCAGGCUACUACGGGAGGCAGCAGUAAGGAAUAGUGGACAAGGGUAGCAACCCUGAUCCAGCCAGGCCGCGUGAAGGAUGAAGGCCAUAUGGGUUGUAAACUUCUUUUGUACGGGAAAAAACCUUCUUACGUGUAAGAAGCUGAUUGUACUGUAAGAAUAAGGAUCGGCUAACUCCGUGCCAGCAGCCGCGGUAAUAC
rnacentral:rRNA from 1 species